UACAGAGGUCCCAAGCGUUGUUCGGAUUCACUGGGCGUAAAGGGCGCGUAGGCGGUGAGGUAAGUCGGAUGUGAAAGCUCGGAGCUCAACUCCGAAAUGGCAUUGGAAACUACCUUGCUCGAGGGUUGGAGGGGGGACUGGAAUGCUUGGUGUAGCAGUGAAAUGCGUAGAUAUCAAGCGGAACACCAGUGGCGAAGGCGAGUCCCUGGACAGCUCCUGACACUGAGGCACGAAAGCUAGGGGAGCAAACAGG
rnacentral:rRNA from 1 species